rnacentral:rRNA from 1 species
AUUGAACGCUGGCGGCAUGCCUUACACAUGCAAGUCGAACGGCAGCUCGGGGCAACCUGGUGGCGAGUGGCGAACGGGUGAGUAAUGCUUCGGAACGUACCUUUCAGUGGGGGAUAACGUAGCGAAAGUUACGCUAAUACCGCAUAUUCUGUGAGCAGGAAAGCAGGGGAUCGCAAGACCUUGCGCUGAUUGAGCGGCCGAUGUCUGAUUAGCUAGUUGGUGAGGUAAAGGCUCACCAAGGCGACGAUCUGUAGCGGGUAUGAGAGGAUGAUCCGCCACGCUGGAACUGAGACACGGUCCAGACUCCUACGGGAGGCAGCAGUGGGGAAUUUUGGACAAUGGGGGCAACCCUGAGCCAGCCAUGCCGCGUGAGUGAAGAAGGCCUUCGGGUUGUAAAGCUCUUUCGGCCGGGAAGAAAUCGCACGGGCUAAUACCCUGUGUGGAUGACGGUACCGGAAUAAGAAGCACCGGCUAACUACGUGCCAGCCGCCGCAGUAA